UUCACAUGCAUUACACCAAAGCAAAUCAAUAUAACUCAAGUAACCAAUGCAAAAGAAUUAAAUUUGAAAUUUAGUGUGAAUUUUAGAUUCAUUACAAUAAAAGGUUUACUUAUAAUUGAAAAUACAAAGAAUUGCACGUGGAUUUACAAGAUAUCACUUAGUUUCCUUCCAUCCAAAUCCCACAAAAUCAGGGAUAAAUUUCACAACAAAAACCUCACACAACCUCUCAUUCUUAUCCUCAAUUACAGCUCAUGAUUUC
rnacentral:lncRNA from 1 species